UUUGAGGCAAAUGCUGCAUAUAUUGUUAUGUAGAGGAAAGUCCAUGCUCACACAAGCUGUGAUGUUUGUAGUGUUCGUGCUUGAGGAAAAAAUAACUCAAGGUAGUUUUUACUAACGGCUUCGAAGAAACCUUAAAUGGUUUUAGUAGAUAUAAAAGUGCCAUAGAGACGAAUCAUUUGGGAAACUAAAUGGGUGGAACGAGGUAAACCCCACGAGUGAGAAACCCAAAUUUUGGUAGGGGAGUUUCAUAUUUGGGAAAAGAACUAAAUUGAAAUCUAUUUUAAUAGAAGAUAAAUAUUUGCCGCUUUCUUUAUGAAAGAACAGAACAUGGCUUAU
rnacentral:RNase_P_RNA from 1 species